rnacentral:pre_miRNA from 1 species
CAUAUACUCCCUCUGUCCGAAAAAACUUGUCCAAAACUUGUCCCUCAAAUGAAUGUAUGUAGCACCAAGUUAGUGCUAGAUACAUCCAUUUGAGGGACAAGUUUUUUUGGACGGAGGGACUACAGG